AAAUGGUUCUUUCUGGAUCCCUCUUUCUUAUCUCCCGUUUGUCCUUCUCUUUCUCAUCUCUUUAUCUCCUAUCGUCUAUCUCCUUUCUCUCUCAUUUCCUGGAUCCAUUUUCUGGAUCGUCUCUCUCUUUUCCCUCUCUCAAUUUCUGGAUCAACUUCUGGAUCGUCUCCCUCCUUUCCCUCUUCUCUUUCACUUCAUAUUUUCUCAAUUUGUUGGAAACCACAGAAAAAAUCAACCUCAAUUUUCCAAAUUUGGAGAAAACUCACAAAAGUAAUUUAAUUAAUUCUGGGUUUUAUCAAGUUCAAUCAACUAACGAGGAACAAAAAAUGGCGAUUAGAAACCCUUGGAUCUCGCACGCUUUAGCAGAUUUGGACACUGAUGUAAUAUGUCACAAAAGCCGGUAAAUUGAGACCUACAUCCUAACAAAUAUUGGGUUGAAGGCUCGCAUAAAAGGGAAAUCGAAUUUUGGGUUUCGAUCAUAUUGGGACGGAUGGACUCUGUUGCUGCAACUGUUGACGAUAAAAAAAGAGUGUACUUACCUGUAUUGGCGGUGGUGGAGCUUGCUAUCAACGAACUCUCUAAUGGAACUCAGUUUACAAUGAUUUGAUGAAUGAGAAAAAGAUAAUUAGUAGUUUUAGAAAAUGUAAUCAAUUUAUAAUUUUG